UACGUAGGGGGCAAGCGUUGUCCGGAAUCAUUGGGCGUAAAGCGCGUGUAGGCGGCUUCGUAAGUCCGUUGUGAAAGUCCAGGGCUCAACCCUGGGAUGCCGGUGGAUACUGUCGGGCUCGAGUCCGGGAGAGGGAUGCAGAAUUCCAGGUGUAGCGGUGAAAUGCGUAGAUAUCUGGAGGAAUACCGGUGGCGAAGGCGGCAUCCUGGACCGGCAUUGACGCUGAGGAGCGAAAGCUAGGGGAGCAAACGGG
rnacentral:rRNA from 1 species